UGAAACAUGAGACUUUAAGAAUCACUAAACACCUCAUACUUGGCCAUUUUGUAUUGGCUAUUCAAAAGGGGAAAAAAAUCCCCUCUCUCUCUCUCUCCUUCUUUCUCUUUUGGCCAAGAACACGUAAAAGAGUUGAAGCUGUUCGUCGUGCUGCUGAUGGAAGCGCUUUUGAGAAAUGUGAAGAAAGUGGAGUUAUGAUCGCGAAGGGAAGUGAAGAGAUUCAAGUGCGUUUCGAGUGGAAAUAUCGAUGAUGAUAUAUCGAAACCAAGCUUUGAAGAUGAACCUAGAUCACCUUUUGUCUUCUUCUAGUACGGUACCCAAAACCUUCCUCUGUUACUUCUCUGAGUAGUAUCUUCCUUUAUUUAGAGAGGAUUUUGAAAAGCUACGAUGGGAACAUGGUUGAUGCUAGCAGAAUAUGUUUCAUUGUGUGGAAGAACAUGUCAGAAGAGGUAUCAGUUUAUUCACAAUCACUUAAAAACUUAAUUUUUCCUCUUCAAACCUUUAUUUAUAUGCUUGGUUUUUGCAAAUUCUGCAAAUCAAAUGCUCUACCGUAUUCUCGUACGAAUCCAAAUUGAGAUUUACUGUCUAUUGUUGUGUCCCAAUCCAAAUUGAAAUUCUGCCUUGUGCGCUCUUCACGAGCAAAACGCUGGUUAAGCUGACACUGGGAUCACAUAUUGAUCUUGGGAACAUUCCUCCAGGUGUGUCUCUUCCAGCGCUCAAGAGUCUCUUCAUCAACACCAUCUUUUUCACUUAUGGAGAUUUGUGUAAUGUGCUUCUUCCUGGUUGCCCAGUACUCGAGGAGCUGUCUGUACGUCAUGUGAAUUGUGAAAGAAUCCCAUUCUGCAUAUCCAGUAGAAGCAUCAAGAAACUAUCAGUUUACUACAACUUUGAGACUGUGAUUACAGAUAUGUCCGGCAUGUCAUCUGAUUCUUACUCCUGCUUCUGCUGAUGUGAUUUCUCCAUGUGUUAAACGCGGAAUAUCUCUACCGGUGUUCAAGAAUCUGGUUGCCUUACCUUAUUUUCCUUCCUUCAUGUUUCAGGCCCUAUUGAAGAAGACGCUGGCUUGAGAGAUUUAAUCAGCUGGCUUCCUGAAGAGGUUCUAGGCAGCAUCUUGUCCUUACUUCCGACGAAACAAGCCGCAUCAACAUCUGUACUUGCUAAAAAGUGGAGGCAUGUGUGAUGAUGGUAAUAUAUUGUAAACUCAUGGCGCUCGUUGGAGCUGCAGCAUCCAAGUGCUAGACCGAUUUCGUUUCUUACUUCUAGCUAGACUUUCAUCAUAAACUUUUUUUUUUUGUUAAACGUAUCUAAUUCAUAGGCAAGAUCAUGAUGUGAAUCACUCAGUGUGCUAGUUUGCACCACUUACAAAUCAUGGCAAAACUACUUUACUACAGUUAAUUAUGUUCAAAUACAUUAUCUAGUUGAAAACCAUUUCUCUU